rnacentral:lncRNA from 1 species
AUGUAUUCUAUCGACAUUCAUGGCGAAAACGAAACUAACAAUAGUUUGUUGUCUUUAUUCUGACAAAACAUAAAUUUUUAUGACGAUUACAUUGUCAUCUUUCAAGGACACAAUUAAACUAAAUAAUAACUUGCACAUUUUUAGUACUCUAGCGCCACCAAUUAACAACUAGCAAAAAAACGCACAAACUUUCCGGACAACCCAGUAUUAGUAAAUAUAUUAGCUUAUGAAUACUUGCCUUGCACAUUUGUGAAAGGCAAGUAAUAGAUGUUUCUUUUCAAUUGCUCCAACUUGAUUCGAAUUAUGUCCCAUAUGAUAUUUCAUACUUGAUCCUGCUUUCUCUAUUUAUCUAUUUGUUCUAGAAAAUGAUAAAAACCAUCUAAUUGUUUGAAUAUGCUUUGGUUAUGUAAAAUUUAUUCUAAAUUUACUAGCACAUCUCAUUUUGAAAAAAAGGAUGGGAUGGAUGGUCUUUUAUACUACAUAUGUUAGAAUUGUAAUGCUGUAUUCCAAACUAGCAUGCACUCAAUGUUAUUUUCAUGUUUAUGUUACUUGUGGUUUUUCCCCUUACUGCCGAGGGCAUGGCAACUCCCAACAUGGGGGUUCUCUUCUCGUGUCCGAACGAGACUGCAUGUGUCAUUCCUCACUCCUUGUAACGUCCACCUUUUUUUUAUUCAUCUGAAAUAAACGUUUUUGAUAUCUGUUACCACUGUGAUUCAUUUUAUUAUACAACCUCUAACAACAUAUAUAUACAGGAUGAGAGAAAAGUCUGUACCCCUCCAAAUGAUUUGAUAAAUAUCAUAGAUUUUAAAAGUAUGUUAAUGUC